UUUAACUUUCAUUAAGGUUUAGGCUAUUGGAGCUGAGGAGAAUGGCUGAGAGCUUUGCAUGAUAAUGAUGUCUUCACCUACAAGAUCCUUAAGAGUUGUGUCACUUCCCUGAUCCACAUAGUGUAGCUAAACCUCCUCUCUUCAACCCCCAUGUUCGAUGAGAGGCAUCAGAGACGAUGAAAGAGAAAUAUCCUUUUGAAGUUAAAAAGUCGG
rnacentral:misc_RNA from 1 species